CAUCUAUGAAGCCCCAAAUCCCAGGCCUUCCCACACCCUCUCCCACCAAUCUGACAACCACAAGUCUGUUUACCAGUCCAAGAUUUUCUUUUAGGUAUAAAGGUUCAUUUGUGCUAUUUGUUAGAUUCCAGAUCCAAGGGGUAUCCUAUGGUAUUGUUUUUCAUUUUCUGACUUAUUUCACCUCAUAUGAGAGUUUUUAGUUCCCUUGAUGUGGCUGUGAAUGUCCUUUUUGGAUUUUUACGGCUGUGUUUUAUUCCAUUGUGUACAUGUACAACAUCUUUUAAUCCAUCCAUCUGAUGAUGGACAUUGAGUUUGUUUCCAUGUCUUGGUUGUUGUGCAUAUUGCUGCAAGGAACAGAGCAGUGCAAGUAUCAUUUUAAUUGAAUAUUUGUCCAGAUGCAUGCCCAAGAGAGGGAUUGCUGGGUCAUGCAUUUGUUCUGUAUGUAACUUUGGGUUUACCUCGAUUGUGUUGUCCAAGGUAUUUGUACCAAUUUGCAUACCCCCUCUCCCUGUAGGAGGGCACCCUCUUCUCCACACCCUCUUCUCCACUCCCUCUCCAGGAUUUGUUUGUAGACUUACUAAGGAUGGCAUUCAGACAGGUGUGAGGGUUUUGCGGGGCCUGGUGCCCUCUGGAUAUCGGGUGGAGGGAAAUGCCUCCUCAGGCCCCGGGUCCAUUUUUCGACCGGGGUGUCGGGUGUGUUUCUGUGCUUCUUUACUCACUUAUUUCCUGGGGGCUGGGUUGUUUCCGUGGUUGAGCUGGGAAUAGGGAAGCCCCAUCCCGACCUGGGCUUUGGGGCCCGGGUCGGGUGACUGCGCGUCGUGCAGGGAAGGCGGGACAGAGGUGACAGCGGGGUGAGCCGCCGCGCCCCUCCCGGUGUGCCUUCUCCCAGGAGGUCUCCUGAACCUCCGCCUUUGGCUUUCCCUGUGAGCCGCUUUGGUUCUGGCCAAACACCUGGUAUGAAGAGCUGCUCUCGAGCCAGCUCGGGCCAUCGCAGGCCGGUAGCACGAGAGCAGGAAAGACCUCCCGGAGGUCCCUCCAGGCUCCCUGGGGAAAAGGUCUGUCUGGGUCGCUGGGGCCAGCUUGGCACCCUCUGUGGCUGGCCGACCCUCGAGGGCGGGCGACCGACGCUCGCCUCAGGUGGGGUCCAUAAAGCAAGAGAGAACGAGGGAAGGAGAAAGAGAGAGAAAUAGAAAGAAAAGAAUCAAGGUUUUAUUAUAUGAAUGAUGGGAUAACAGUUUGAAAAUUAAGAAAAAAAAUCAAUAGUUUCAUAUGUACACACCUGUCUUCAUAAAUACAUAGUGCAGGCAUAUCUAAAAAGGAAGAACCUGUCCUGACAGGAUGGGUCCAGAGCAGAUGGUUUGAACAGAGUGGUUUGGGUUAGGUGGGCCUGAGGGCUCUGAAAGCCUUUGAGCAAGAAAGAGCCCCCUUGGACAGGUUCUUCUUGGGAUUUCAAUCAAGGGGAGGGAGAGAAUCCACCUGGCAUUUUGCCCAGGGCUCAGGCAGCCCCAGGAGCUGCUGAGCCAGAGAGAGGAGGAACCCCUGGGAGUUGCUGUUCGAGCAGAUGUCCACAAGAUGGGCCAGAGGACUUUCUGGACCCAGGUGCAGCUCCAGGGCUGUUGCAGGCUCAGAGGUAGGGUUUAUUCUGAGUUGGUUGGAAUCCACAGCAAGUACCCAGCGGUUUGGGUUUGUUUGCUGGGCACCUGGGAAUCUCUACUCUAAGAUGCCUCAUGUCAGGCAGAGGACACAGGUGUCCCUUCAGUAUUGGAUGUGGCUGGGCAGCCUGGUUGGAUGGCCAUGUGUUUGGAAUGCUGAAGGGAUUCACUGGGUUUCCAAAUGCCUUGUGUUCCUCCAGAGGCAGGAGCCGAGACCCACACAGCAUUGGUGGUGAAUCGUGUAAUGGCCAUAUGAAGCCCCUGGUUGUCAGAGCUUUAGGGAUGUGGAGAGAGAGGCUGAUGCUGAUAAAAGAAUGGGGGACUAGGGUGGCGUGAUGGUGGGCAGCUCUGCCAAUCCCUGUGAUUUUUUUCCCUCAAAAGAUCUAGUGAGGAGUUCCCAUUGUGACUCAGUGGUUAAUGAUCCUGACUAGGAAUCAUGAGGUUACAGGUUUGAUCCCUGGCCUCGACUGGGGGUUAAGGAACUGGCGUUGCCUUGAGCUUUGGUGUAGGUCACAUUCUCGCCUUGGAUCCCUCAUUGCUGUGGCUGUGGUGCAGGCUGGCGGCUACAGCUCCAAUUUGACCACUCGCCUGGGAACCCCCAUAUGCCCGAGGUGUAACCCUAAAAAAAGCAAAAAAAAAAAAAAAA
rnacentral:lncRNA from 1 species